AGAAGCAACCAUAUCAGCUAUGCACCGGAUCCCAUAGCUAAACAUGUUUGUGCAUGAGUAGUACUAGAUGGGUUACCCCUGAGCAAGUCCUUGUCUUGCAUCUC
rfam:Nicotiana attenuata strain TT chromosome 1, whole genome shotgun sequence.